GGGGUUUCCUUUUCUUUGGUCUCCCUUGUUUCUUGGGUGGCGGGUGGGGGGAUAACUGGCUGUUCAGUACCGAGGGGCCAGACUGGGGGUGGUAGAAAUGCCACACUCUCUUUGGUUUAGGUUUUUGACUUUAUUUUCUUUUAUUUUUUAAAAGUCUAUGACAGUUGCGUUGUUUUUCUCCGCCCGCCUGCCCCCCACCCCCGAGCAACCCCAUCCCAGGAUCCUGUCUUUCUGGGAAGUCUUUUUAAUACGAGUCCCUAACCAUCCUACACUCUUCACUUUCCUUUCCACCCCAUUCAUUCUCUGAACUUAUCACAGUGUUUUGCACUUGAUUAUGUAUCCUUCACUUUCUUCUUUAUCCCAUCAUCCCCUCAGUAGGUCUGGUGAGGGAGGUUGGGGGGAGGUGGGAGGAGGGGCAGAAGUGGAAGCAUAGGAAGGAUGUUACCUCUUCUCUUACUUU
rnacentral:lncRNA from 1 species